CCUACGGGAGGCAGCAGUGAGGAAUAUUGGUCAAUGGGAGAGAUCCUGAACCAGCCAAGCCGCGUGAGGGAAGACGGCACUAUGGGUUGUAAACCUCUUUUGCCGGAGAACAAAACCCGGGACGUGUCCCGGACUGCGUGUAUCCGAAGAAAAAGCAUCGGCGAACUCCGUGCCAGCAGCCGCGGUAAUACGGAGGAUGCGAGCGUUAUCCGGAUUUAUUGGGUUUAACGGGUUGGUAGGCGGUCCGUUAAGUAAGCGGUAAAAUGGCGGGGCGAAACCCCGUUGAGCCGUGGAAGCUGGCAGACUUGAGUGGGCGAGAGGUAAGCGGAAUGCGCGGUGUAGCGGUGAAAUGCAUAGAUAUCGCGCAGAACUCCGGUUGCGAAGGCAGCGUACCGGCG
rnacentral:rRNA from 1 species